rnacentral:tRNA from 1 species
AGGCCCGUAGCUCACCGGUAGAGCGCUCGGCUGAUAACCGAGAGGUAGUGGGAUCGUCACCCACCGGGCCUACUA